AUUGAACGCUGGCGGCAGGCCUAACACAUGCAAGUCGAGUGGAUGAAGGGAGCUUGCUCCUGGAUUCAGCGGCGGACGGGUGAGUAAUGCCUAGGAAUCUGCCUGGUAGUGGGGGAUAACGUCCGGAAACGGGCGCUAAUACCGCAUACGUCCUGAGGGAGAAAGUGGGGGAUCUUCGGACCUCACGCUAUCAGAUGAGCCUAGGUCGGAUUAGCUAGUUGGUGGGGUAAAGGCCUACCAAGGCGACGAUCCGUAACUGGUCUGAGAGGAUGAUCAGUCACACUGGAACUGAGACACGGUCCAGACUCCUACGGGAGGCAGCAGUGGGGAAUAUUGGACAAAGGGCGAAAGCCUGAUCCAGCCAUGCCGCGUGUGUGAAGAAGGUCUUCGGAUUGUAAAGCACUUUAAGUUGGGAGGAAGGGCAGUAAGUUAAUACCUUGCUGUUUUGACGUUACCAACAGAAUAAGCACCGGCUAACUUCGUG
rnacentral:rRNA from 1 species